UGGAUCCAGACUUUGAUCAUGGCUCAGGACGAACGCUGGCGGCGCGCCUAACACAUGCAAGUCGAACGAGCGAGAGAGAGCUUGCUUUCUCGAGCGAGUGGCGAACGGGUGAGUAACGCGUGAGGAACCUGCCUCAAAGAGGGGGACAACAGUUGGAAACGACUGCUAAUACCGCAUAAGCCCACGGGUCGGCAUCGACCAGAGGGAAAAGGAGCAAUCCGCUUUGGGAUGGCCUCGCGUCCGAUUAGCUAGUUGGUGAGGUAACGGCCCACCAAGGCAACGAUCGGUAGCCGGACUGAGAGGUUGAACGGCCACAUUGGGACUGAGACACGGCCCAGACUCCUACGGGAGGCAGCAGUGGGGAAUAUUGCACAAUGGGGGAAACCCUGAUGCAGCGACGCCGCGUGGAGGAAGAAGGUCUUCGGAUUGUAAACUCCUGUUGUUGAGGAAGAUAAUGACGGUAC
rnacentral:rRNA from 1 species